GAAUAAUUUUUUCUCGAUUUAAUAAGAGAUAUAAAAUUAUUAAUUUUUUUGUUACAAAAAAAUUUAUUAUAGUUUUAUAGAAAUGAAAUGUUAUUCGAGUAUUAAGAUAUCUAGUUUUUUAAGAAAUAGAUUUAAUUUAGAAUUUUUUUUAUAUAACAAAAUAAUUUUAUAUUUAGUUAUUUAUUAAAUUUAAUAAUUUUGGGGAUAAGCUCAAAAUUAAAUAUUAAGUAAAUAAUAAUUAUUUAAUAUAGAAAAGGAUUAGAAGUGUCUGUAUGUGUUAUAACUAAUUAUUAAAGGUGAUAUAAAAUUUAUAUAUUUGAUUUAGUAGUUAUUAAAAUAAAUUAAUUAAUUAAUUAUUAAAGGAAAUUAUGAUAAUAUUAGUAUUUAAAGUGUAGAUAAUAAAGAGAUCGUAAGGUAGUAUAAAAGAAUUCAGCAAAUAAGAUUCUUGCCUGUUUAAUAAAAACAUGGUUUUUUGAAAAUUAUUUAAAAUUUAGCCUGCUCAAUGAAAAUUAAAUUGCUGCAGUAUAUUAACUGUACGAAGGUAGCAUAAUCAUUUGUUAUUUAAUUGAUAACUGGAAUGAAAGGUUGGACAAGGAAUUUACUGUUUCUAUAUUAAUUAAAGAGAAUUUUAUUUUUAAGUAAAAAAGCUUAAAUUUUUUUAAAAGACGAGAAGACCCUAUAGAAUUUAAUAUACUAGUUAUAGUUAUUUAGUGGACUUUAUUUAUAAUUAUAGUGAAUAUAUUUGAUUGGGGCGAUAGAAAAAUUUGAAAAACUUUUUUAUGAAAACUUCAUUGAUGGAUGUAUAUUAGAUUCAAUAAUAGUUGAUUAAUAGAAUAAAUUACCUUAGGGAUAACAGCGUAAUUUCUAAUAAAGAUCUUAUUAAAAUAGAAGAUUGCGACCUCGAUGUUGGAUUAAAAUUAAUUUUAGGUGAAGAAGCUUAAUAAUUAGGUCUGUUCGACCUUUAAAAUU
rnacentral:rRNA from 1 species